rnacentral:rRNA from 1 species
CUUAGGACGAACGCUGGCGGCGUGCCUAAUACAUGCAAGUCGAACGGUCUUUCUAUGGAAGCUUGCUUCCACUGAGAAGAUAGUGGCGAACGGGUGAGUAACACGUGGGUAACCUGCCCAUAAGAGGGGGAUAACAUCCGGAAACGGGUGCUAAUACCGCAUAGUUUUCUUGAUCGCAUGAUCGGGAAAGGAAAGACGGCCUUUGUGCUGUCGCUUAUGGAUGGACCCGCGGCGUAUUAGUUAGUUGGUGAGGUAACGGCUCACCAAGACGAUGAUACGUAGCCGACCUGAGAGGGUGAUCGGCCACAUUGGGACUGAGACACGGCCCAACUCCUACGGGAGGCAGCAGUAGGGAAUCUUCCGCAAUGGACGAAAGUCUGACGGAGCAACGCCGCGUGAGUGAAGAAAGGUUUUCGGAUCGUAAAACUCUGUUGUCAGAGAAGAACAAGUUGGAGAGUAACUGCUCCAGCCUUGACGGUAUCUGACCAGAAAGCCACGGCUAACUACGUGCCAGCCGCCGC